rnacentral:rRNA from 1 species
AGAGUUUGAUCCUGGCUCAGAAUCAACGCUGGCGGCGCGCUUAACACAUGCAAGUCGCACGAGAAAGUGGAGCAAUCCAUGAGUACAGUGGCGUACGGGUGAGUAACACGUGGAUCAUCUACCUCUUAGUGGGGAAUAACCCUGGGAAACCGGGGCUAAUACCGCAUAAGCUCGAGAGAGGAAAGCAGCAAUGCGCUGAGAGAGGAGUCCGCGGCCGAUUAGCUAGUUGGCAGGGUAAACGCCUACCAAGGCAAAGAUCGGUAGCCGGCCUGAGAGGGCACACGGCCACACUGGCACUGAAACACGGGCCAGACUCCUACGGGAGGCAGCAGUGGGGAAUCUUGCACAAUGGGGGAAACCCUGAUGCAGCGACGCCGCGUGAGCGAUGAAGCCCUUCGGGGUGUAAAGCUCUUUCGGCAGGGACGAUCAUGACGGUACCUGCAGAAGCAGCUGCGGCUAACUACGUGCCAGCAGCCGCGGUAAUACGUAGGCAGCGAGCGUUGUUCGGAGUUACUGGGCGUAAAGGGUGUGUAGGCGGUUGCUUAAGUUUGGUGUGAAAUCUCCCGGCUCAACUGGGAGGGUGCGCCGAAUACUGAGUGACUCGAGUGCGGGAGAGGAGAGUGGAAUUCCUGGUGUAGCGGUGAAAUGCGUAGAUAUCAGGAGGAACACCGGCGGUGUAGACGGCUCUCUGGACCGUAACUGACGCUGAGACACGAAAGCGUGGGUAGCAAACAGGAUUAGAUACCCUGGUAGUCCACGCCCUAAACGAUGCAUAUUUGGUGUGGGUCAUUCAGUUGAUCCGUGCCGGAGCUAACGCGUUAAAUAUGC